UCCGAGACAGAAAGAAAAACAAAUCGUCGAUGCUUUGCUCUGGCAAUGACAAUAAAUAUUUUAACAUAUGUGAUAAAUGCAAGCAAUUGGUAUGUGGUAAACAAAAAAAAGUAUAGGAAAUUCUAAUUUAACAGUGAGAUAACAAUGUAAAAUAAAAUAGUGGUAAUAAAAUUUUAUCAUACCUACCCAUGAAAUGUUUUCAUAAAAUGUAAGAUUAUAUAACAUAAGUAAAAUUUUAGUAUAUACAUGCAAAUUUUUAUUCAUAAGCUGACUAUGUACAUACUUGUUUCGGCCAGAAAACAUUUUCUUUUAUAAUCCAGAGUGCAUGGUAAUGUCCUAUUCAGAUGCCUUUUGUUUAUUUUUUCCUUAAUUGUCAUUUUUGUAAUUUGGCCAUCAUGCCCACACUUGGUCCGGAUAAGGGGAGGAAGACAGUUUUUACACAGUUUUGCACUAAUUUGAGAGUAACGUGAGAGGAGCGAAGCGUAGGAGGCAUAUGCUUACUGAUAGGCGUACUAAAGGAUGUAAAAAAUUUACGGUCUGGAGCUGGUGGACUCAGGCCUGAACUCCGUCAUCACCCCGAUGCCCCGGGUAAAAAAAAAAAAUACACCGAUGGCGGUGAGAAUGUUAAAAAGAGAAGAUAUGACAAGAUGGUAAAAUUUAUGCAGCAGUUAAAGUGGGAAAACAUUAUUUUAUUCAAAAAGAUUAAGAAAAAACAUGGUUCUUGAGAACUGGAUCAUAUUUGUACAAAAUCAAACAAAAAAUUGCCAAAGUGGGCAACUCGAAAUGUUGUUGAGAGUUUCGAGUGUUUGUUAGAGUGUGAAGAUUACUACAUGCAUAUAUUAUGGUAAUGAACAUACACUAAUGAAACAAGAUUAGAUACAGAACAAAAUUAUACAUUAAAAAUAUACACAUGGCUGAAAAUUAAAAAUCAAGUUCAAUUAAUUGUACCAAUCCGUGUGGACUGUGACACAAGGAGGAACUCACAACCCCCUCCAACUGAAAGCACCCCAGAAGAGGUAAGCAUGGGUGGACGAAGGCAAGUGCGCUCGAGCUGUGGAAGUGUCCUUAUUUGAUAUUGUUCAUAAAUCGAGUUGAUGAGAGUUGGAGAGUGUAAUUAAAGGCAGGCCAAAUAUUUUUUAACGUGGUUAAUGUUAUUCGUUUAAUUGGUGAAGGGAUUAUUUUUACUGAAAUUAAAAUGAUUAUUUAUUU